rnacentral:rRNA from 1 species
UACGUAGGGUGCAAGCGUUGUCCGGAAUUAUUGGGCGUAAAGAGCGUGUAGGCGGCCAGAUAAGUCCGCUGUGAAAUCUCGAGGCUCAACUUCGAGCUGUCGGUGGAAACUAUCUGGCUAGAGUCCGGAAGAGGAGAAUGGAAUUCCUGGUGUAGCGGUGAAAUGCGCAGAUAUCAGGAAGAACACCCGUGGCGAAGGCGGUUCUCUGGGACGGUACUGACGCUGAGACGCGAAAGCCAGGGGAGCAAACGGG